rnacentral:rRNA from 1 species
AGUGAACGCUGGCGGUAGGCCUAACACAUGCAAGUCGAACGGCAGCACAGUAAGAGCUUGCUCGUACGGGUGGCGAGUGGCGGACGGGUGAGGGAUACAUCGGAAUCUACUUUUUCGUGGGGGAUAACGUAGGGAAACUAACGCUAAUACCUCAUACGACCUACGGGUGAAAGCAGGGGAUCUUCGGACCUUGCGCGAUUGAAUGAGCCGAUAUCGGAUUAGCUAGUUGGCGGGGUAAAGGCCCACCAAGGCGACGAUCCGUAGCUGGUCUGAGAGGGUGAUCGGGCACACUGGAACUGAGACACGGUCCAGACUCCUACGGGAGGCAGCAGUGGGGAAUAUUGGACAAUGGGCGCAAGCCUGAUCCAGCCAUACCGCGUGGGUGAAGAAGGCCUUCGGGUUGUAAAGCCCUUUUGUUGGGAAAGAAAAGCAGCAGGUUAAUACCCCGCUGUUCUGACGGUACCCAAAGAAUAAGCACCGGCUAACUUCGUG